rnacentral:rRNA from 1 species
GACGAACGCUGGCGGCGUGCUUAACACAUGCAAGUCGAACGGAAAGGCCCUGCUUUUUUGGGGGGCCUGGUUGCCGAACGGUUGAGUAACUAUUACGUAACUUGCCUUUGCCUUUGGUAUAACUUCCCGAAACUGGGGCUAUUACCUGCUGGGUGUUCCUGCUCCAUGGUGUGGUUUGUAAAGUUCCGGCGGUUGGGUAUGGACUCGCGGCUUAGCAGUUUGUUGGUGGGGUAUUGGCUUACCAGGGCUUUGACGGGUAGCCGGCCUGAGAGGGUGACCGGCAACAUGGGGACUGAGAUACGGCACAGACUCCUACGGGAGGCAGCAGUGGGGAAGAUUGCACAAUGGGCGGAAGCCUGAUGCAGCAACGCCGCGUGCGGGAUGAAGGCCUUCGGGUUGUAAACCGCUUUCGCCUGUGACGAAGCGGGAGUGACGGUAAUGGGUAAAGAAGCACCGGCUAACUACGUG